AGAUCACUCCAUCAUCUCAAUUUAGAGCUAAUUUACAAUUCAUCGACACUGUGAAUGCUGAAAACAUGUUUAACAAUUGUAAGUAAUAUGUGUACAGUUUGUUAUAUUGGUCCAUACCAUCACUGCAGUCCUUCCUAGUGUAACCAGAUAUGAUUCCUGGAUAGUUUGUCAUAGUUGGUUGACCAAAGGAAUACUUUUGAUAGCAAUGGAAUCUGUUUUGAAAGUAAAAGACAAUACUGAUGCACUUCCUAUGUCAUUUCUAUUUUACAUUUAAAAAAAGUUGUAAUCAAUGUAGUUGUAAACAAAUACUGUAUAUCAUUUUGAUCUCAUGCAUAGUCAGUCCAUGAGAGAGGUGACAUUUCUCUAGCCUUCAACUAUUUAUCCUUCAACUAUUUACAGAAAGAAGUGGUGCGACCACCACCCAAACAGGCAACCCAAAUACUCAAAUAGAUUAUACUCUUUAACCACGUAGCUGAAGUAGGAACACCCAGGGUUCUGAGUGCAGGCAAGCUGGCAAUGAUGGUGGUCCCGUUCAUACACCGUCAGAAUGUCAUUCCCACCAAAGUCUUUGUCAACCUUGAUUCCCUGUGAGCAGUGAGCUGUUGAAUAGGGGCACAUGUGGUUUUCAAUUAGAUUACAAGUAAAUUAAAAAGACUACCACAAUAGUGACAGAAAUGGAUUUGUCCAUGCUCAAUAUUACAAUUUUAGAUUGAUUUACACUAAACCAUGAAGGAUAUGUCUUAUCUUAUAAAGCAUAUUAGCAUGUUCACUCACAUGGUUCAACUGCUCUUGUGCCACUGAAGGACUCAUCCAAGGACUGCUGGCUGAAGAAGAGGUCAGGGGCUGCACCUGGGCAAAGAAAACAUUCCCACACUGUAAAUUUAACAAGAAAGAUCACAAAAAUUUACAGAUGCUGGAGAAAAGGGAAGACAAUUCUUACCCAGAAACACUGCCAACACUGUUGGGAGCCACAUAGCCACUGAAAAGAUGUAAAAGGGGCAAGAAGGUGUUUGCCUGUUUUAGAAAAUAUUUUAUAAAUAUGUAAAAG
rnacentral:lncRNA from 1 species